rnacentral:misc_RNA from 1 species
UUUGACGAUUGACUCAUGUUGCCUCGGCGGGUCCUCCCGCCAGAGGAUACAUCAAAACUCCUGUUUUAACGGUGUUGUCUGAGCUACAAGCAACGAAUCAAAACUUUCAACAACGGAUCUCUUGGUUCUGGCAUCGAUGAAGAACGCAGCGAAAUGCGAUAAGUAGUGUGAAUUGCAGAAUUCAGUGAAUCAUCGAAUCUUUGAACGCACAUUGCGCCCCUUGGUAUCCCGAGGGGCAUGCCUGUUCGAGCGUCAUUUCACCACUCAAGCCUGGCUUGGUGUUGGGCGACGUCCCCCUUUAGGGACGCGCCUCGAAACGCUCGGCGGCGUGGCACCGGCUUUAAGCGUAGCAGAAUCUUUCGCUUUGAAAGUCGGGGCCCCGUCUGCCGGAAGACCUACUCACAAGGUUGACCUCGGAUCAGGUAGGGAUACCCGCUGAACUUAAG